GAUGAACGCUGGCGGCGUGCCUAACACAUGCAAGUCGAGCGAACCCUUCGGGGUGAGCGGCGGACGGGUGAGUAACGCGUGGGUAACCUGCCCUGUACACACGGAUAACAUACCGAAAGGUAUGCUAAUACGGGAUAAAGUAUGAGAGUCGCAUGGCUUUUGUAUCAAAGCUCCGGCGGUACAGGAUGGACCCGCGUCUGAUUAGCUAGUUGGUAAGGUAACGGCUUACCAAGGCAACGAUCAGUAGCCGACCUGAGAGGGUGAUCGGCCACAUUGGAACUGAGACACGGUCCAAACUCCUACGGGAGGCAGCAGUGGGGAAUAUUGCACAAUGGGCGAAAGCCUGAUGCAGCAACGCCGCGUGAGCGAUGAAGGCCUUCGGGUCGUAAAGCUCUGUCCUCAAGGAAGAUAAUGACGGUACUUGAGGAGGAGGCCCCGGCUAACUACGUGCCAGCAGCCGCGGUAAUACGUAGGGGGCUAGCGUUAUCCGGAAUUACUGGGCGUAAAGGGUGCGUAGGCGGUCUUUCAAGCCAGAAGUGAAAGGCUACGGCUCAACCGUAGUAAGCUUUUGGAACUGUAGGACUUGAGUGCAGGAGAGGAGAGUGGAAUUCCUAGUGUAGCGGUGAAAUGCGUAGAUAUUAGGAGGAACACCGGUAGCGAAGGCGGCUCUCUGGACUGUAACUGACGCUGAGGCACGAAGCGUGGGGAGCAAACAGGAUUA
rnacentral:rRNA from 1 species